rnacentral:rRNA from 1 species
GACGAACGCUGGCGGCGUGCUUAACACAUGCAAGUCGAACGGAAAGGCCCCUUUGGGGGUACUCGAGUGGCGAACGGGUGCGUAACACGUGAGUAACCUGCCCUUGACUUCGGGAUAACUUCAGGAAACUGGGGCUAAUACCGGAUAGGAAUCCUUGCUGCAUGGUGGGGGUUGGAAAGCUUCGGCGGUUUUGGAUGGACUCGCGGCUUAUCAGCUUGUUGGUGGGGUAGUGGCUUACCAAGGCUUUGACGGGUAGCCGGCCUGAGAGGGCGACCGGCCACAUUGGGACUGAGAUACGGCCCAGACUCCUACGGGAGGCAGCAGUGGGGAAUAUUGCACAAUGGGCGGAAGCCUGAUGCAGCAACGCCGCGGGCGGGAUGACGGCCUUCGGGUUGUAAACCGCGUUCAGCAGGGGCGAAGCUUGUGGUGACGGUACCUGCAGAAGAAGCACCGGCUAACUACGUG